rnacentral:misc_RNA from 1 species
GUCCCCCCCCCCCCCCCCCCCAUCAUAAGUCAUGCAUCUUGUGUCUUUGGAGACAGAGUAUCAAUUGUAAAUUACCUGGAUAUAUAGGGUAAAUUGAGUUAAAGCAAUGAAGGUAGCUGAUUGCCACUUGAAUUUGGAUUAUUUCAGAAAUGGUUCUUAUGGUAAAUUUGAGCAAGAAGUUAAUUAGAGGGUGUGGUAGAGCAAAUCAAACAGAAAAUACAUAGAAGCAUACUUUCUUAUGUCAAACUUAGAAGUGAUUCAUGAGAUACAUUGCAGUUUUGAAUCAUGACCAAUAACAUUGGGUUGUUGGCUUGUUGUAAGACAGUCGAGCAUAGUUGGGUUUUCUUUCAAAAAUUGGCAAGUUGAUGGAGCAUGGAACAAUCACAUAUGUACUAUGGUUUUUCUUUGAAGCAUGAAACCAUGUUUUAGUGAUUAAGCUGUUGAGAUUAUAUUUCAUCAUUCUUCUUUGAGAAAUCAUACAUAAUUCCUUU